rfam:Oryza sativa Japonica Group DNA, chromosome 11, cultivar: Nipponbare, complete sequence.
GAUAUCAACUGAAAAAGUCAUCAACAACAAAGUUGAAUAACUCAUCAAGAUCUAAAACUUUUAUUUUGGUCAUUUCUUCAUACGACAAAGUGAUAGUAACAUUGUUCACAAAAUUGACAUAUCUCUUAUCUGGUUUUAUAAACUAUAACACAUAUAUGUAAAAUUUGUGAAUAAUAUUACUAAUAUUUCGUCGGAUGAAGAAAUAACAAAAAUAAAAGUUUUAGAUCUUGAUGAGUUAUUCAAUUUUGUUGUUGAUGACUUUUUCAAUUGAAAUC